rnacentral:ncRNA from 1 species
CUAUGACUUUUGGUCAUGGCGGAAGGAG